CACAGCAGCCCAAAGUACCUUUCAAAAUAGCCUUAUACAUUUAGUAUAGUUUUCCAAAGUAGGGUUUCAAACCCUUUGAUUCUAUCCAGCAGCCACUCCCACCCCUUUCCCUUCUUGGGUUAAUUCCAAGGCGUGUUCAUACCUAAAUCACAAUGAUUUCACUAUUUUCAAAAAAAUCAUUCUCUCUCACCUCUGCCAUAAAAUUUGUUCAAGCUAAAAGCCCAUUUUUUUUUUGAAGAAAUCUACACUUUUCAGAGAUAGGACUUUUUUUUUUCAAACGGAUCUUUCAGAGUCAAAGCCUCACCCAUGACCUUCUUUAUUGUAUUCAAAUUUCAAAUCUGAAAACCCUAAUUUUUGCCUAUAAAUAUCUCUUUAUGUUUCAGCCGAAAAGGGGGUUUUUAGAACAAAAAAAAUCUCUCAACUCUUGUCUAUCUACUUUAGUUAUUUAUAAGUUUUAAUUCUCAUUUUAUUGGGGAAGUGGUAGUGGAUCUAAGACCUCAAAGCCUCGUUCAUUGCUCCCGUGGAAGGAAAAGAUGCCCGGAGAGCAUAAAAGAGCAAAAUGGAUCAAAAUGGACCAAAAUAGAGCAAAACAAGCCAAGUAGCUGAAAUGAGUGAUUGGAAGAAACCAAGUGAAAAGAAAGUCAAAAAGAGGUCAAACUGGACAUUUUUGCAAAACUAUCAAAACUGGACAGUUUUGCAAAAACGGGACAGAUUUGCAAAACUGUCAAAAGUGGACAGUUUUGCAAAAACGGGCAGAAUUGCAAAAACAGAAAUACGGGGGCAGAUUUUGACAUUUUUUGGACUUGAAAAAAUUGGGGGGAGCUACAAAAGAGAGGCUAGGGCAAAACAUUAUCAUCUUUGGUCAUUUUGCAAGUUUUGGAGGCUAGGGUUUUUCUACAAUAUUGGAGGAGAAGAUUGGAAGCACUUCAAUGAGAUAUUUCUUAAUCCUUUCUUCAAUUCCUUGUUUUGUAUUGCAUAUCUAAGUGUGUAGUAUUUAUUCCAUUACUUGAAUCUUGAUUGUGAAACUAUUCUUGAUUAAAGUUUGGAUUGAAACUUUUGUUUUGCUUAUGUAUUGAAUGAUUUUUAUUGCUA